UACGUAGGGUGCGAGCGUUGUCCGGAAUUACUGGGCGUAAAGAGCUCGUAGGCGGCUUGUCACGUCGGGUGUGCAAGCCCGGGGCUUAACCCCGGGUCUGCAUUCGAUACGGGCUAGCUAGAGUGUGGUAGGGGAGAUCGGAAUUCCUGGUGUAGCGGUGAAAUGCGCAGAUAUCAGGAGGAACACCGGUGGCGAAGGCGGAUCUCUGGGCCAUUACUGACGCUGAGGAGCGAAAGCGUGGGGAGCGAACGGG
rnacentral:rRNA from 1 species